GAAGUGGGAGCCAGGACCUACAUGCAGGGGUCCACCUGAGGAACACAGCAGGCAGGGCAGGGCAUAGGGGACAGACGCAGGGAACCAUGCACUCAGCAGCGGGAAAAUGAGGAGGGUCUUUACUGUUAGGGUUGGAGAUUUACGGAGAUCAGAUGUGAAACAGUCCUCUAAGAGAGAAGGGGGUAAUGGGAAAUUUAGUGGGUGGCAAGGGGAUGCUGCAGUCUUCCAAGAAGUCUGUGGUCACAAAUCUAGCAAAUUUGGUGAGACCAUUUAAUGAAAAAUGGUCCUCUGAAGCACUGGCUGAGCUUGAGAUGCUGAGGCCGAAGAGAGGAACCAAAAACCGGAAUCCAGAAGGUCAGGGGCAGCAAGGGCUUUGAAGAAUGGAUGUCCCCCACCCUAGAGCCUUCUACCAAUCAGGGGAUGCAUGCUUGAGCCACUUGGGAUAUGAGGAGCCAGUGGAAGCUAAUGGAGGCCCAGGAAAAGCGGGCACAUGGGACUGAGCAGCAAAGGCUGCCCCAAAAGGAAGACAGCAGGUUCUGGAGGCAAGGCAGUUUUAGAGCCAGUCUCUGGUCAGUUCCCAGGUGACAAGCCAUUGAAUUAACCUAAUGAAGCACAGGAUAGCACAGCCUCAGACCAGCUCAGCUGAACACAAUCUUCUUGGCAGGCAGAGAAAAGAAAUGUCAAGAUAAGGUACGGAGGCUAGGGGGAGGAAAGCUGCUUGAAUCUGGAAGGAGUGGGGAGAAGGAAAAAACCCAGCAAGAUGCUGAUAAAGCCCCCUCUUCCCACCCACUGCCACACAGCCUGAGGAUGUGUCCCCAGACUCAGUGCAAAGGCAUCACACCACAGACUGUUCCUCACGGCACGAUGCUGUGAGUGUCUGAGCACUGGGCAGCACAGCCUGUCUGAUAUUCACAGAAGUCCCAAGACCAGCUGAAAGAGGUCAGCCAGGCGGUAAGUGACAGCGCUUUAAUGCCACUCCAGGUCUGGAGGCUCCAAGUCCAGUGCUUGCUGCCACAAGCUGGCUUCCAGAGAGGCUUUUCCCACUAACUGGGAUACAGCCAUCCUAGGGUUCCCUGUGCCCCAGAUCCAUGCUAAUCUAGCAACCCAGCUAAAUCUCUGCAUCCUGGGUAUGGCUGCAGAUGACCCUGGCAGAAGGUGCCCUGGGGUGGGGGAGUCAGUCAUUAUUCUGAACAAGAGACCAGACAGCUCCUCCCUUAUACACAUCUCAGACCCAGUGAGGCAUGUCCUUGGCAUGUCUGAGAACUGGCUGUUUCACCUCUGCAUGUUUGGUUAACUGAAGUCAUCUCAUUGCAACAUCCUGACACCAGCCUCUGGCACAUAGUUAUCCUGGUGACUCAGGCCCUCCUUGCUCCCUAAAUACAAACCCUGGGGCAGCUUCUGCCUCUCAAGCCCUUGCCCUCCUUGACUUGACAUCCAGUCUGAGAUCUCAGCUCUGGUCCUUUUGAUGCUGCCCAGUCAGCAGAGGACACCAGAAAGCAUGGGCUAAUACAUUUCUUUGAAUCUAUGAUCAUCACUCUAUGAACACCAUGAAGUUCUAGAGAAAUAAGCCAUCAGUCUUCAUUGUGAGAGGAUCACAGGGGAGUAAUGCUGUUGCCAUCUUGACUGGAUGAGUUGGAUUAAACUAUUUGUACCAAGCAAGUCGGGAUCCCUGCCAAUACCAGUCUCUUGGGAUGGCAUAUCAAACCGUCUCUAACAAGAUUCACAGAACUCCAGCCAGCACACUGAAGGAAACAGACUGAGAUAGCCUGGGGGAGAAGACAGAGAGGCCCAACUCUGCCUAGCAGGAAACAGCCCCACAUAACCCAGAGAGCACAGCAGCCCUGGAGCUACAUCCUUUUCCGGGCCCUGGCAGGAAACAACACGGGAGGGUGAGCAUUCAGGAAGCUGAGAUGACAGGAGACGGACAGUAGACCAAGCCUUCCAGAGCUGGACCAGGGUCGCAUCUGUUUACUGGGACGUGGGUGAAGCCACAGUAAGUGUUCUCCCCAUCUCAGACAGACCCCGCGUAACACCAUCCACCACGCAGAUGGCCCUUGGCCACCACAAAGGGACUAUAACCUGCCUGUGCCAGCUCUGUCCUGUAGUCCAAGAGAUGAACCACUCCUUGUGGAUGGGCAGCCAAGGGGCUGAGGGGGCUCCUCCCUAAAAAACCAACACUUUAAAUACUGGAAAGAGCACCCAGCCUACAAGCCAAUGACCUGGAUUCUGGUCUCAGUUCUUCUAGCUACUGAUUUGAGGACAGCAAGCAAAUUACUCAACUUCCAUUUCCUGAUUUAUAAAUGGAAUGACUCAAUGACUCUAAGUCCCAUUCUAUAUUUCAGCAUUCAGUUUUUUAACAAGGUAAAUUAGUAAGUGGCAAUAAAUCCUUAUUAGUUUGCCUGCAUUGGUGUUUCUGACAUCUAAGUCAGGUCACAGACCAGCGGCAGAGUCUCCGAGUCCAAAUGCACACUUAGCACAGUCUGUUGUACCAAUAUGUGACAUCCCUCCAGUAGAUGACAACCCCAUUUUCCUUUGGAGAACCAUCUCUCUGCCAUGUAACCCAGGCCUGGCUGACCAGAGGACCAAAUGCACCCAGACAUAGUACUUGAUACCGAGCUGGGCGUGGGCCCCAAUCUUCUGCCACAGGGGAACUGAGAGUGGGUUGCACAGUGAAGAGCAGGGUGGGAUGGGUGUUGGUUGGUUGAGCCCCUCAUCUUCUGACUAGAAGCCUUUCCAAACCUGUUUCUCAGCCUGUUAAAGAGUCCUGUUUGGCAUUUUAAAUGAUGUCAGAUACUCCACUGAACUCCAGACCUACCUAUUCCAUUCAUUUCUGGAUGCCACCCCUUAGGUGAUACUCCAAAAUACCUCAAACACAACCUGCCCCAAACCAAAUUCAUGCUUGCUCUAAGCCCCCCGAACCCAGUCCCCUAUCUGUAUUCCCAGUUUCUAGGAAACGGACAUCAUCUAUCCAACCCUGAAAGCUGGAAGUCACAGGUCUAUGCCCACCCCUUCCUUUCACUGCCCUCGGCCAACUUACUGCAAUGGCCACCUGCUUUUUACCAUCUAUAUCUCUUCUCUUUCUCUUCUUUCCAUGUCUACGACCAUCGCACUUUCCAAGGGACUGUCAUCAUUCUUAUAGUAACCUCCAAACGGCUAACACCCUAGAUCUACUGAAGAGACCCCUCCACUUCAUUCUCCACAGGAGGCCAAAGUGAUCUUCACAAAUGCAAUUCCUAUCUGAUCCUCAUCCCCAAUUACUCCCAGCAAAACAGUCAGACCUCCCAAUGCCUUGUGGCAAAGACUGACCCUUGGCAGCCCUCAGCCUGUGGAGAAAAGUCAUUAACAACCCCUCCCACACUUCCUGCUAACAGAAUCCUUGUGUGGUCAGCCCAGCCCUACAGGACAUCCUCCGCCAUCCUCCCUGCUGAGCUGUGUUCUCAACUCCUGUGUCCUGCUGACCCAGACCCUCCCACUCCGUGAUCAGCCGGUGUGAUUCCACCUCCUCCUUGGCUUAGAGCAGAGCCUAGGGCACUGUGGGGGGUGGAGGCAAUUGAAACUGAAAGAAAGAAAUGGAAACACUAGAAACAGUCAUCCCCAGGCCGAGGUGGUGCCAGUCUAGGAAGGAGGAAGGUGAGGAGAGACCAGAUGGGUUUUUCUGCCUGAACCUAGGUCAGAGCCAGAGCAAGAGUUGGGAGGUGGGCAUGGGGACAAUGAGAGGCCUGGGAUAGCUCCCGUGGCUGUGGAAGCCCAGGUUCAUCAGAGAGAUGCCAGAGUAGGUUGGCUGCUGCUCAGCAUAUCCAAGCAAGUUACAAGAAAGGUCAAACCAUUCCCACAGACAUCUGGACCACACAGUGGCAUCCUGAGCCCCCAGCACUACCUCCCCACUCAGGAUAGGAUGUUUCUUUUCUGGGUCUACCAGAGGAUUUGAGAGUGAAUACUGAGUGGGCCUUCAAAUUCUAUAUUCCAUAGAUGAGGACUCUGAGGCCCAGAGAAGGGCAGCGACUUGCCCUGGGUCACACAGCACCAAAGCCUCUGUGGGUAGCUAAGGCAGGGAACCCAUGCAUCCAACAGGACUGGGCCGUAGCCUGAGGAUCACCGAGGGGCCCUCUGACCAAACAAGCUGCUGCCCCUUUGGAAGAACCAAGAAUCCCCACCUUGAGGCUUUGGGGACCUCGGUGGACCAGGCCUCCUUCUUGGCUUCACAGGCUGCCACCCAAGGGCCUGCUGACUACUCUCCCUAUUUUGCACAGGAUGAAAGGCAGGGUAGAUCUGGGAUGGGCAAGAAUUACUAGGACAGGUGGCUUGGGUGGGAGUACAUCUUCCAAAAUACCUCACCCAGGCUUGAAGGGAGGUGAAGUAUCUUCUGGGUUAAGCAUAAGAAAUGUUACUUGAGAGAUUAGAACCCACAUUCAUCCUAGAAGCUUGCCCACUGCUGAUUUAGGGUCAAGUGUGAAUUGCUUUUCAAGCACUAAGGAAAUUCCUUCAUUAAACGCUGCCACUUCGGCCUUGGGCUGAAGCUCCUUGUCAUGCACUGUUUAUCCUGCUCCCCAUUUACCCUGGCUCCCCUCCACUGGAAGAGCCUGAACGUGGUCCCCAUCCUUCUCCCACCCCCUCAGGCUUUCCCAUCUCCCUUCACCAGAGGUUCCUGGGAUCUCCUGAGCUAUGCUGGGAGGCUAAACAGGCGUGGGUCCAGGCAAAUGCCAUGUCCUCUGGACAGGACGGAUCAGAGAGAAGGCUGACCCCAAGGAACUCCCUUACAGCCUGGCAACCUGGGCUCACACGGCUCCCUGGAGAACCCGAUAGAGACAGGAACUGGAGGGGCUCAGGGGCCCUCUCCCUUGCUCUGCCUUGCCCACCCAGCCUCACGCCCUUCGGCUACUGUUCUAUUUGUGCAGCUGCAGGACUCAGCACAGGCCCACAGACACAAGUGCUUCCUCACGACUCUGGCUCCAGUUCACCAACAGGAUCCAUUGAUCGGUGUUCUGUUUUUAAAAUUCGGUGGGAAUGAGGGUCAUGGGGAACUCCACUUACAGGUCAGGGGAGAUUCAAAGUUCUAGGAAUCUCAUUUCAAUGGAACCCUACAAAGAAGGAAGAAGGGAGGGGGGUGGAGCUGUGGGGGUGACAGGAAGAGGGAGGGGGCAUCCCCCCAUUCCCUCACCUAUGCUUCUUCUCAUAAUCCACCUCUCAUCUUCCCCUCUUCACUACCCCUCCAAAUUCCCUUUAGCCACACAAAUAAACAACUUGUUGACUUUUCCCUCACCACAGCAGCUCCCUCUAGACCAAUUAACUAUUUGUAUUUGUUGUUGAUUUUCUUCUACAGAGGGCUGCUAAUCUGCUCAGGCUGGGACCUUGUGGCCUGCCCUCGGUGCUCGGAUUCUACAGCUCAAGAACUGCAGAGAGAAAGGGCAGAGCAGGGUGAGGACUGCUCUCUGGGGUCCCUGGAUCAUACCCCCACACCUCAGAGUCCCCUGCAACCUCUCGCAAGCCCUGCAACACAGCCUUUCAGGAGCAGAGAAUCCCCACACCCUAACCACACAGAGGCAGGGCACUUCCUGUGUCCCUCUGGUAUGCUUCCCACCCUUACCCAAGAAAGGAGGAAGGGAAAAGGACGUUAACAGGCAAAAUCAUAAUCUGUGAAGAGAUAAGGAUCACACCACAGAGAACAAUGUCCCUCAAGGCCAGAGACCCACAUGCUGCUGGGAUCCCUCAGAUCUCAGCAGCCAGCAGGGGGGAUGUCAAUAAAUCACUUACCCUCUCUGGGCUUCCUCAUUUGCAAAGAGUCACAUCCUUCUAAAGGCCUAAAGGAGAAGCCCAUUGAGGAUGUUUUUCAACAUCUGAUACGAGAACUAUUCAUUUGUUUUAAUAUUACUAUCACACAAAUUUUUAAAAAUUUAAUAUUACUAUUAUACACAAAAAUUUAGCAUUGACACCAAAAUAAAGAAAAAACAUUUUUCUCUUGAUUUCCCUUGCCCCUCGCUCACUUCAUUGUACAUGGUAGUAUGUACUGCAUUCAUAGAUGGUAAAAUAUCACCUACAUUUGAAUGCCAACAGCUGGAAGUGAGGGAACAAUCCUCUCCACCCCAAGAUGACCUUCUCUCUGAGAAUCUAUGGGGUUAAAGUAUCCUUCAGCAUAGUUCUUCUUGUCGCCACC